rnacentral:rRNA from 1 species
GAUGAACGCUGGCGGCGUGCCUAAUACAUGCAAGUCGAGCGAACAGACGAGGAGCUUGCUCCUCUGACGUUAGCGGCGGACGGGUGAGUAACACGUGGAUAACCUACCUAUAAGACUGGGAUAACUUCGGGAAACCGGAGCUAAUACCGGAUAAUAUAUUGAACCGCAUGGUUCAAUAGUGAAAGACGGUUUUGCUGUCACUUAUAGAUGGAUCCGCGCCGCAUUAGCUAGUUGGUAAGGUAACGGCUUACCAAGGCAACGAUGCGUAGCCGACCUGAGAGGGUGAUCGGCCACACUGUAACUGAGACACGGUCCAGACUCCUACGGGAGGCAGCAGUAGGGAAUCUUCCGCAAUGGGCGAAAGCCUGACGGAGCAACGCCGCGUGAGUGAUGAAGGUCUUCGGAUCGUAAAACUCUGUUAUUGGGGAAGAACAAAUGUGUAAGUAACUAUGCACGUCUUGACGGUACCUAAUCAGAAAGCCACGGCUAACUACGUG